GACGAACGCUGGCGGCGUGCUUAACACAUGCAAGUCGAACGGAAAGGCCCUGCUUUUGUGGGGUGCUCGAGUGGCGAACGGGUGAGUAACACGUGAGUAACCUGCCCUUGACUUUGGGAUAACUUCAGGAAACUGGGGCUAAUACCGGAUAGGAGCUCCUGCUGCAUGGUGGGGGUUGGAAAGUUUCGGCGGUUGGGGAUGGACUCGCGGCUUACCAGCUUGUUGGUGGGGUAGUGGCUUACCAAGGCUUUGACGGGUAGCCGGCCUGAGAGGGUGACCGGCCACAUUGGGACUAAGAUACGGCCCAGACUCCUACGGGAGGCAGCAGUGGGGAAUAUUGCACAAUGGGCGGAAGCCUGAUGCAGCAACGCCGCGUGCGGGAUGACGGCCUUCGGGUUGUAAACCGCUUUCGCCUGUGACGAAGCGUGAGUGACGGUAAUGGGUAAAGAAGCACCGGCUAACUACGUG
rnacentral:rRNA from 1 species